UUAAGCGACUAAGCGUACACGGUGGAUGCCCUGGCAGUCAGAGGCGAUGAAGGACGUGCUAAUCUGCGAAAAGCGUCGGUAAGGUGAUAUGAACCGUUAUAACCGGCGAUGUCCGAAUGGGGAAACCCAGUGCAAUUCGUUGCACUAUCGUUAACUGAAUACAUAGGUUAACGAGGCGAACCGGGGGAACUGAAACAUCUAAGUACCCCGAGGAAAAGAAAUCAACCGAGAUUCCCCCAGUAGCGGCGAGCGAACGGGGAGCAGCCCAGAGUCUGAAUCAGCUUGUGUGUUAGUGGAACGGUCUGGAAAGUCCGACGGUACAGGGUGAUAGUCCCGUACACCAAAAUGCACAGGCUGUGAACUCGAAGAGUAGGGCGGGACACGUGGUAUCCUGUCUGAAUAUGGGGGGACCAUCCUCCAAGGCUAAAUACUCCUGACUGACCGAUAGUGAACCAGUACCGUGAGGGAAAGGCGAAAAGAACCCCGGCGAGGGGAGUGAAAAAGAACCUGAAACCGUGUACGUACAAGCAGUGGGAGCACCUUCGGGUGUGACUGCGUACCUUUUGUAUAAUGGGUCAGCGACUUAUAUUCUGUAGCAAGGUUAACCGUAUAGGGGAGCCGCAGGGAAACCGAGUCUUAACUGGGCGUUAAGUUGCAGGGUAUAGACCCGAAACCCGGUGAUCUAGCCAUGGGCAGGUUGAAGGUUGGGUAACACUAACUGGAGGACCGAACCGACUAAUGUUGAAAAAUUAGCGGAUGACUUGUGGCUGGGGGUGAAAGGCCAAUCAAACCGGGAGAUAGCUGGUUCUCCCCGAAAGCUAUUUAGGUAGCGCCUCGUGAAUUCAUCUUCGGGGGUAGAGCACUGUUUCGGCUAGGGGGUCAUCCCGACUUACCAACCCGAUGCAAACUACGAAUACCGAAGAAUGUUAUCACGGGAGACACACGGCGGGUGCUAACGUCCGUCGUGAAGAGGGAAACAACCCAGACCGCCAGCUAAGGUCCCAAAGUCAUGGUUAAGUGGGAAACGAUGUGGGAAGGCACAGACAGCCAGGAUGUUGGCUUAGAAGCAGCCAUCAUUUAAAGAAAGCGUAAUAGCUCACUGGUCGAGUCGGCCUGCGCGGAAGAUGUAACGGGGCUAAACCAUGCACCGAAGCUGCGGCAGCGACACUAUGUGUUGUUGGGUAGGGGAGCGUUCUGUAAGCCUGCGAAGGUGACCUGUGAGGGUUGCUGGAGGUAUCAGAAGUGCGAAUGCUGACAUAAGUAACGAUAAAGCGGGUGAAAAGCCCGCUCGCCGGAAGACCAAGGGUUCCUGUCCAACGUUAAUCGGGGCAGGGUGAGUCGACCCCUAAGGCGAGGCCGAAAGGCGUAGUCGAUGGGAAACAGGUUAAUAUUCCUGUACUUGGUGUUACUGCGAAGGGGGGACGGAGAAGGCUAUGUUAGCCGGGCGACGGUUGUCCCGGUUUAAGCAUGUAGGCUGGUUGUCCAGGCAAAUCCGGAUAAUCAAGGCUGAGGUGUGAUGACGAGGCACUACGGUGCUGAAGUAACAAAUGCCCUGCUUCCAGGAAAAGCCUCUAAGCAUCAGGUAACAUCAAAUCGUACCCCAAACCGACACAGGUGGUCAGGUAGAGAAUACCAAGGCGCUUGAGAGAACUCGGGUGAAGGAACUAGGCAAAAUGGUGCCGUAACUUCGGGAGAAGGCACGCUGGUGUGUAGGUGAAGCCCCUGCGGGUGGAGCUGAGACCAGUCGAAGAUACCAGCUGGCUGCAACUGUUUAUUAAAAACACAGCACUGUGCAAACACGAAAGUGGACGUAUACGGUGUGACGCCUGCCCGGUGCCGGAAGGUUAAUUGAUGGGGUUAUCCGUAAGGAGAAGCUCUUGAUCGAAGCCCCGGUAAACGGCGGCCGUAACUAUAACGGUCCUAAGGUAGCGAAAUUCCUUGUCGGGUAAGUUCCGACCUGCACGAAUGGCGUAAUGAUGGCCAGGCUGUCUCCACCCGAGACUCAGUGAAAUUGAACUCGCUGUGAAGAUGCAGUGUACCCGCGGCAAGACGGAAAGACCCCGUGAACCUUUACUAUAGCUUGACACUGAACAUUGAGCCUUGAUGUGUAGGAUAGGUGGGAGGCUUUGAAGCGUGGACGCCAGUCUGCGUGGAGCCAACCUUGAAAUACCACCCUUUAAUGUUUGAUGUUCUAACGUUGGCCCCUUACCGGGGUUGCGGACAGUGUCUGGUGGGUAGUUUGACUGGGGCGGUCUCCUCCCAAAGCGUAACGGAGGAGCACGAAGGUUAGCUAAUCCUGGUCGGACAUCAGGAGGUUAGUGCAAUGGCAUAAGCUAGCUUGACUGCGAGCGUGACGGCGCGAGCAGGUGCGAAAGCAGGUCAUAGUGAUCCGGUGGUUCUGAAUGGAAGGGCCAUCGCUCAACGGAUAAAAGGUACUCCGGGGAUAACAGGCUGAUACCGCCCAAGAGUUCAUAUCGACGGCGGUGUUUGGCACCUCGAUGUCGGCUCAUCACAUCCUGGGGCUGAAGUAGGUCCCAAGGGUAUGGCUGUUCGCCAUUUAAAGUGGUACGCGAGCUGGGUUUAGAACGUCGUGAGACAGUUCGGUCCCUAUCUGCCGUGGGCGCUGGAGAAUUGAGGGGGGCUGCUCCUAGUACGAGAGGACCGGAGUGGACGCAUCACUGGUGUUCGGGUUGUCAUGCCAAUGGCACUGCCCGGUAGCUAAAUGCGGAAGAGAUAAGUGCUGAAAGCAUCUAAGCACGAAACUUGCCCCGAGAUGAGUUCUCCCUGAGACUUUAAGUCUCCUGAAGGAACGUUGAAGACGACGACGUUGAUAGGCCGGGUGUGUAAGCGCAGCGAUGCGUUGAGCUAACCGGUACUAAUGAACCGUGAGGCUUAACCUU
rnacentral:rRNA from 2 species